UACGGAGGGGGCUAGCGUUGUUCGGAAUUACUGGGCGUAAAGCGCACGUAGGCGGCUUUGUAAGUUAGAGGUGAAAGCCCGGGGCUCAACUCCGGAAUUGCCUUUAAGACUGCAUCGCUAGAAUUGUGGAGAAGUAAGUGGAAUUCCGAGUGUAGAGGUGAAAUUCGUAGAUAUUCGGAAGAACACCAGUGGCGAAGGCGACUUACUGGACACAUAUUGACGCUGAGGUGCGAAAGCGUGGGGAGCAAACAGG
rnacentral:rRNA from 1 species